UACGGAGGGGGCUAGCGUUGUUCGGAAUUACUGGGCGUAAAGCGCGCGUAGGCGGACCUGCAAGUCGGGGGUGAAAGCCCGAGGCUCAACCUCGGAACUGCCUUCGAUACUGCGGGUCUCGAGUCCGGGAGAGGUGAGUGGAAUUCCUAGUGUAGAGGUGAAAUUCGUAGAUAUUAGGAGGAACACCAGUGGCGAAGGCGGCUUACUGGACGGUAACUGACGCUGAGGCUCGGAAAGCGUGGGGAGCAAACAGG
rnacentral:rRNA from 1 species